rnacentral:rRNA from 1 species
AUUAAGCCAUGCAUGCAACCGAGCGGGCUAUUGUCGAAUCUGCGAAGGGCUCCAUAGUGCUGUUAUACUCUGGCAAUAGGACGAGCCGUCUGGACGGAGCACGCACCUAGUGCGUGUGAUUUUUGGGCGUGGCGGAUCCUGCUGGAAACACUAACAAUAAUACGUUCAAAUAACAAGCACAUCCCGUGGGGAACAGAACCCGACCCCGGUCGAGUGAUACACUGUUGCAACCUCAUACGGGCCGAGGCUCCCACCUUCUAUGCACGAGGACACACCAAGGCGUAGGGUUCCAGGUCAAGUCCCCCUGUUUACUCAGGGGGAUGAGGCUUCCUACGUUUUCGACCAAAGGCUGGAAGGGGGUGGGAGGGAGAUACUCCUGCACGGUGUUCGCUUCUUAGUGGGUGGGUACCGGAUCCUUGGUGAGUUCCAGUCCCAUCAACUGGGCGGUCGGGUACGGGUUCAUCGUGGUCCCCACGGGUACAGAGGAUUUUCGGUUUGAUCCUGGAGAGGUAGCCUAAGACAUAGCUCCCACUUCUAUGGAAGGCAGCAGGCGCGCAACGUUCUCAAUGGUUGUAAUGACCGAAGACGUUAAGGAACAUAGCAAUGAGGUUGCAAAGUUGCAGCCCAAUUGAAAUGGGGGGUAAUACAGAUGCAAAUACUCCACCGAGAAACAAUUAGAGGACA